GGCAAAUCUGUGGUAGCGGUUUUUUAAAAACGUCACAGCGUCCCUUGCGUGUGGGUGUGUGACCACUGAUGUAUGUAUGUGUGACAGAGGAAGAUGGCAGCGAAAAGAGAGAAUGAUUGUGAAAUCAGAAAAUGGUUUGUUAUUGUCUAAAAGAGUAAUCUAUGCGACAAAGUAUAAUUUUUUUUAGGCGAUCUUGUUUGCGUUCGUGGGUAGUUUUUUUGUAAUAUUGGCUCCAUUUGUACAGUACACCCUGGUUGACUGACAGUGGAUUUGCCCGUAUAGCCACCGUUAGCAUUUUGGCUAGCUAGCAAGCUAAGUUGUUUCUUGGAAAUCACUGCUCCACAGCAGCUUGCCAUUUUCGGAGGGUGAAAGUACUGCAAACGUACCCGUGGUGGUUGACUUUCAGUCUUUGGAGAGCAGUUGGGGCUAAGGAAGACUAAGCCAAUCGCUGCUGGUUGGUGACUUCCUUGAAAAGCCAGCGUUGGACUGGAGCAGCCAGCUAAGGGCCAUGAGCCAGGGCUUCCUCCUCCCUCUGUGGACCAGAGCCAAAAUGGAGGUUUAGCCCAGACAGACGCUGAGCAAGUGUUCAGUGCUGCGGGUCCUCUGCCUAGGCAUGGAGUGGCGUUGGCUGCAGACUGGAUGACAGGGUCUUCAGGGAGAGCCGAGGCGCGUCCCCCUGCACAGACACCCAACUCCCUAACUGACCACCGCUGACCCGUCACCACGGUGACUGACACCGAAGUACAGCCUCACCCCUGCAACCACAGCAGAAUCCCCCCCCCCUUUUCCUCAUCCCCCUCUAUCUGGACUCUCCUUACCCCCUCCUCCUUUCCUGACCCCUCCCCUUCCUCCUCCUUUCCUGACCCCUCCCCUUCCUCCUCCUUUCCUGACCCCCCCCCCCUUCCUCCUCCUUUCCUGACC